UACGUAGGGGGCUAGCGUUGUCCGGAUUUAUUGGGCGUAAAGAGCUCGUAGGUGGCACAGUAGGUCAGAAGUUAAAACGCAGGGCUCAACCCUGCGUCGCUUUUGAAACCGCUGAGCUUGAGUAUGGCAGGGGAGAACGGAAUUCCACGUGUAGCGGUGAAAUGCGCAGAUAUGUGGAGGAACACCAAUGGCGAAGGCAGUUCUCUGGGCCAUUACUGACACUGAGGAGCGAAAGCGUGGGGAGCGAACAGG
rnacentral:rRNA from 1 species